GACGAACGCUGGCGGCGUGCUUAACACAUGCAAGUCGAACGGAAAGGCCCUGCUUUUGUGGGGUGCUCGAGUGGCGAACGGGUGAGUAACACGUGAGUAACCUGCCCUUGACUUUGGGAUAACUUCAGGAAACUGGGGCUAAUACCGGAUAGGAGCUCCUGCUGCAUGGUGUGGGUUGGAAAGUUUCGGCGGUUGGGGAUGGACUCGCGGCUUAUCAGCUUGUUGGUGGGGUAGUGGCUUACCAAGGCUUUGACGGGUAGCCGGCCUGAGAGGGUGACCGGCCACAUUGGGACUGAGAUACGGCCCAGACGCCUACGGGAGGCAGCAGUGGGGAAUAUUGCACAAUGGGCGGAAGCCUGAUGCAGCAACGCCGCGUGCGGGAUGACGGGCUUCGGGUUGUAAACCGCUUUCGCCUGUGACGAAGCGUGAGUGACGGUAAUGGGUAAAGAAGCACCGGCUAACUACGUG
rnacentral:rRNA from 1 species